rnacentral:rRNA from 1 species
AGCAGCCGCGGUAAUUCCAGCUCCAAUAGCGUAUAUUAAAGUUGUUGCAGUUAAAAAGCUCGUAGUUGAAUUUCGGGGUCGAUAGGUUGGUCGUGCCUAUGGUAUGUACUGGCCUUACUGAUUCCUCCUCCUUGUAGAACUGUGAUGCCAUUAAUUUGGUGUUGCAGGGAAACAGGACUGUUACUUUGAAAAAAUUAGAGUGUUUAAAGCAGGCUAACGCUUGAAUACAUUAGCAUGGAAUAAUGAAAUAGGACGUGGAUCCUAUUUUGUUGGUUUCUAGGAUUAACGUAAUGAUUAAUAGGGAUAGUUGGGGGCAUUAGUAUUCAAUUGUCAGAGGUGAAAUUCUUGGAUUUAUUGAAGACUAACUACUGCGAAAGCAUUUGCCAAGGAUGUUUUCAUUAAUCAAGAACGAAAGUUAGGGGAUCGAAGACGAUCAGAUACCGUCGCAGUCUUAACCAUAAACUAUGCCGACUAGGGAUCGGAUGAUGUUAAUUUUUUAAUGACUCAUUCGGCGCCUUAA